rnacentral:rRNA from 1 species
GUCUACAGCCAUAACACUCUGACUGCACAUGUUCUUGACCCAUCUCAGAAGCUAAGCGGGGUUGAGCCGGGUUAGUGCUUGAAUGGCAGAGUGAACUAGAGACUGGGUCUUGGAUU